rnacentral:rRNA from 1 species
AUUGAACGCUGGCGGCAGGCCUAACACAUGCAAGUCGAGCGAGCGGCGGACGGGUGAGUAAUGUCUGGGAAACUGCCCGCUGGAGGGGGAUAACUACUGGAAACGGUAGCUAAUACCGCAUACCAUCAGAUGUGCCCAGAUGGGAUUAGCUAGUCGGUGGGGUAACGGCUCACCUAGGCGACGAUCCCUAGCUGGUCUGAGAGGAUGCCCAGCCACACUGGAACUGAGACACGGUCCAGACUCCUACGUGAGGCAGCAGGGGGGAAUAUUGCACAAUGGGCGCAAGCCUGAUGCAGCCAUGCCGCGUGUAUGAAGAAGGCCUUCGGGUGGUAAAGUACUUUCAGCGAGGAGGCGUUACUCGAAGAAGAAGCACCGGCUAACUCCGUGCCAGCAGCCGCGGUAAUAC